rnacentral:rRNA from 1 species
GCAUAUCAAUAAGCGGAGGAAAAGAACCAACAGGGAUUGCCCUAGUAACGGCGAGUGAAGCGGCAACAGCUCAAAUUUGAAAUCUGGCUACUUCGUAGUCCGAGUUGUAAUUUGUAGAGGAUGCUUUUGGUGAAGUGCUUUCUGAGUUCCCUGGAACGGGACGCCAGAGAGGGUGAGAGCCCCGUACAGUUAGCAACUGAUCCUUUGUAUAGCUCCUUCGACGAGUCGAGUAGUUUGGGAAUGCUGCUCUAAAUGGGAGGUAUAUCUCUUCUAAAGCUAAAUAUAGGCUAGAGACCGAUAGCGCACAAGUAGAGUGAUCGAAAGAUGAAAAGCACUUUGAAAAGAGAGUUAAACAGCACGUGAAAUUGUUGAAAGGGAAGCGCCUAUGACCAGACUUGUCUCUAUCAGUUUUGGUAGUUUUCGGACUGCUUUACUCUGUUAGUACAGGCCAACAUCAGUUUGUUGUCGGGGAGAAAGGCUUAGGGAAUGUGGCUCCUUCGGGAGUGUUAUAGCCCUUUGCAUAAUACCCUUCGGCAGACUGAGGACCGCGCUUCGGCAAGGAUGUUGGCGUAAUGGUCAUCAGCGACCCGUCUUGAAACACGGACCAAGGAGUCAACCUUAUAUGCGAGUGUUUGGGUGUAAAACCCCAGCGCGUAAUGAACGUGAACGUAGGUGAGAGCUUCGGCGCAUCAUCGACCGAUUCUGAUGUUCUCGGAUGGAUUUGAGUAAGAGCAUAUAGGGUUGGACCCGAAAGAAGGUGAACUAUGCUUGUAUAGGGUGAAGCCAGAGGAAACUCUGGUGGAGGCUCGCAGCGGUUCUGACGUGCAAAUCGAUCGUCAAAUAUGAGCAUGGGGGCGAAAGACUAAUCGAACCUUCUAGUAGCUGGUUCCAGCCGAU